rnacentral:rRNA from 1 species
CGGAGGGUGCAAGCGUUAUCCGGAUUUACUGGGUUUAAAGGGUGCGUAGGCGGGUCUUUAAGUCAGUGGUGAAAACUCCGAGCUCAACUCGGAAACUGCCAUUGAUACUAUUGAUCUUGAAUUUAGUUGAGGUUGGCGGAAUGUGUCGUGUAGCGGUGAAAUGCUUAGAUAUGACACAGAACACCGAUUGCGAAGGCAGCUGGCUAAACUAAAAUUGACGCUGAGGCACGAAAGUGUGGGGAUCAAACAGGAUUAGAAACCCUGGUAGUCCACACCCUAAACGAUGAUUACUCGAUGUUGGCGAUACACUGCCAGCGUCUAAGCAAAAGCAUUAAGUAAUCCACCUGGGGAAUACGAUCGUAAGAUUG